rnacentral:lncRNA from 1 species
UGCUUGAAUGGGUUAUAUUGAUAUGCUCAAGAAAUGGGACAUCACUAUGAAAAUUUGAGAACAAUAUUGACCAUCAUGACAUAUUGGCCAUUCAUCAAUUAUUAUUAACACAUUCAGGUAACUGUGUAGUUGGGUAUUAUAUAACAUCAUUUCAGGAAUAUACCGAUUUUCUGUACCAUUGGAGAAUUCCCAGACAGCAAUUAAAUAUAAGACUAUUUUUAUUUAGUUUAUAUGUGUUCAAAGUACUGCUCAGCAAUCCCUUUGUUUCAAAGCAAAGUUCAGUUCUCUUGGUACUUUUCUUAAAGUUGGUCUUGGAUAUAUAAAUAAUGUUUACAUCCUGUAAACCAGGUUGAGAAUUAUUAUUUCUUUUCUCA